rnacentral:lncRNA from 1 species
CUGAGAGCGGGUCGGGGGAGGGCGCUCCAGGGGUUGCCAUGGUGACAUUGAACCUGCCUGGAUCCUAACGCUCCAAGGGCUCCCUUGGCGUCUCAGCCUCCGAUAGCGUCUGAUAGCGGAUGGAGGACAGGCGGUCCGCGAAAGCGAGGCGGUGUGCAGGGGGAUGGGCUGCAGGAGAUGUGGAGAAGGAUAGAGGAGGUGAGAUACUGGGAAGGAGGCAGGGGCUCCCAUCAGAGGGUCGGGGCAGCAGAGGAAAUGGGCGACCCCCCUCUGCUGGUUUCCCUCCCGUCAGAGUGGCACCCGGCGCUGGCCGUUAGCCUGGGCGAUCUGCAGUUCAGACCCGGCUGGCUGGAGGGCGAGGACACGUGUGGGUGGAGCAGUCCUCGAUCCCGGAGCCACCAUCAGGGGACACUGUCUUCCGACACUACUAUUCAGAACUCAUACACAUGGUGAAGGUCAGGCCAGCUCCGCCCCCGCUUCCAGGCCCCCUUCCCGGGGUUGGGGGGCACUCGGACGACCGGCCUUCGUACUGUGAACCUGUCAGGCUUCCAGGAAGCCCAGGAAGUUGAGGAAGAAGCCCUCCAGCUCUCGAACCCGCGCCUCCUGCCGCCCCAGGUGCUCGGCGUUUUCUUGUGGCGCCUCCCUCUCCCCCUCCAGGUGGGACAACCUGUCCCCGAGCAGCCCCAGCUCAGCCAAUGAGUCCUCUGUGCGUGGGGCCUGGGGCUUUCCUGGGACAUGGCCACGGGUGCCCUGCUCAACGUCAGCCAUUCCACUUGGCAGCUCUUUCAGCCUCUCCUGUCCGAAGGCAGGGCAUCCCUCUCGCCCUCUGGAGAGAACUCUCCAGAAGACCAAGACACCUCAGCACUGGAAGAGCCAGCUAAACCUGGUCCCAGGCCAGCGGUCUCCAGGCCCACGGCCCAUCAGUACCUCAGCACUGAGACCCACCAGGGGGACCACACCCUGCACGGCUCCAAGCACCGGCCACGAGACGCUGGCGCUUCCGAGCCUGUCUCCCAGGAACGCAGCCACCACCAAAGCCUGCAGAGACAGCCGCCUACCCGGCCCCCGCGGUGGAAGGCCGAGGCCCGCCGGGGCCAGGGGUCUCGGGUUGGUCCCGACUGGGUAGCAGCCCCUUCCAGCCAGCUCCCCUGGGCUGAACAAAGGCAUCGAGGCCACAGGCAGACAAGGACUCAGGUGUCAUCAUGGGAAAGCUCUGGGCUGGGUUUCCGGCCGGCAUGUGGGAAGGGUCCUGAAUGAGGGGGUGCGGGGGAUGGCCGCUGCCCUUGAGGGGGAGAAGGGUCAGUGCUGGAAGGCCUGGAGGGAGGG